rnacentral:rRNA from 1 species
AUGAGGUGCUCGAGGGGUAGGGCUGCUUGCGGCGCAGGUGCCUAUCGUGUGUCCCAGCGGGGCACCCGAGGCAACUGCAACUGGCCGGCGAGUUUGGCUGAUUUCAACAUGUCAAGAAGAAGACCAUGGCUACCGGAGGACUAUAUGAACAAGGCUCGCCAGGUCCUGCAUCAUCAACUAACAGCCAACUCCAAACGAUUACUCAGGCCGAGUAUCGUUGCAGGGUAUAUGCGAACAACAAAAUCUAUGCCACAACUCUUUUCAGUACAUCUAUGGUACCACUCAAAGGUGUCCUCAUUUCGGGAUAGUAAGUCCGAUGACAAGAGAUUCUACAUAUUUUCUCCCACAAAGGCACUUAAGUUGAAGACACAUUCAAAAGAUGACCGUGUCUCUGUGGUCGAGGCCUUGGUCUUGGUCAGGAGUGUUUAUUCGCUCAGGUCGCUUAGUGGAACAAUAACUUUGGUGCAGAGUGACAUUUCUAUUUUGACUGCAAGGAAUCAAAAUCGGAUGCACCAAGAGGCUUUAAACGUGAGUCUUAUACAGGAUUGA